UGGGGAAUCUUGGACAAUGGGCGCAAGCCUGAUCCAGCCAUGCCGCGUGGAUGAUGAAGGCCUUAGGGUUGUAAAAUCCUUUCGUUGGGGACGAUAAUGACGGUACCCAAAGAAGAAGCUCCGGCUAACUUCGUGCCAGCAGCCGCGGUAAUACGAAGGGGGCUAGCGUUGUUCGGAUUUACUGGGCGUAAAGCGCGUGUAGGCGGACUUGUAAGUUGGGGGUGAAAUCCCGAGGCUCAACCUCGGAACUGCCUCCAAAACUACAAAUCUGGACCUAAGUAGAGGCAAGUGGAAUUGCGAGUGUAGAGGUGAAAUUCGUAGAUAUUCGCAGGAACACCAGUGGCGAAGGCGAACUUGCUGGACUUAUGGUGACGCUGAGACGCGAAAGCGUGGGGAGCAAACAGGAUUAAAUACCCGUGUAGUCCCUGAGCGGGCUGGCAAGGCGCAU
rnacentral:rRNA from 1 species